rnacentral:miRNA from 1 species
AUACAUGUGCCUGUAUAUAUAU